CGAAAGCGAGAAAGCGUUGCCGCAGGCAACGACCCGAAGGGCGAAGCGCGCAGCGCUGAGUAAUCCUUCCCCCACCACCA
rnacentral:sRNA from 1 species